rfam:Drosophila ananassae strain TSC#14024-0371.13 Ctg01_6737, whole genome shotgun sequence.
AUAUCGGUCCUUUUCAGGACCCACAAUGUUAUUUUAAAUGAGAUUU